rnacentral:rRNA from 1 species
GAUGAACGCUGGCGGCGUGCCUAAUACAUGCAAGUCGAGCGAACAGACGAGGAGCUUGCUCCUCUGACGUUAGCGGCGGACGGGUGAGUAACACGUGGAUAACCUACCUAUAAGACUGGGAUAACUUCGGGAAACCGGAGCUAAUACCGGAUAAUAUAUUGAACCGCAUGGUUCAAUAGUGAAAGACGGUUUUGCUGUCACUUAUAGAUGGAUCCGCGCCGCAUUAGCUAGUUGGUAAGGUAACGGCUUACCAAGGCAACGAUGCGUAGCCGACCUGAGAGGGUGAUCGGCCACACUGGAACUGAGACACGGUCCAGACUCCUACGGGAGGCAGCAGUGGGGAAUCUUCCGCAAUGGGCGAAAGCCUGACGGAGCAACGCCGUGUGAGUGAUGAAGGUCUUCGGAUCGUAAAACUCUGUUAUUAGGGAAGAACAAAUGUGUAAGUAACUAUGCACGUCUUGACGGUACCUAAUCAGAAAGCCACGGCUAACUACGUG